CUCCGAAUAGAACCGGAAUCACGAUUGAAGACCAGAAAAAUGACCGGCACAGCAACAAAGAUAGCCUGCCGAAUGGAAUCCUACUGGAACUGAAACGGAAGUUUUCUGGAACCGGAGGAAGCUUCCUGGAAAGCCGACAUGGAGGACAAGCCAGCAACUUUAUCAGCAUUUACUUCGUCGUAUUGCUCAGUUUCAAAGCCGAAACCAGCGGAGUCUUGGUCGCCGUAGGAAUGUGAACGGAGCACGUUACGCCGUUGCAAACAUGCCCUAGAGUGGAUCGAACCAUUUGCGGAUCGGUGAACUCCAUUCUGGCUGGGAUCACCAAAUAAUGUUGAGAAAAUGCUGUUGACCUCAAACAGGACAGAUCAAGUUGGUGAAAAUAUAGGAACAACAACAGGGGACGACGAUGGCUUUGUCUGCAAUUAUGAUGGAAGCUUGGAAGCGGUUUAAACUCGUCAUGCAGCAGGACGUUUCAAUCGAUUACUGACUUCAGCCACAGUAGUGCAGUUUCACAAGGAUUCGUCUAUGUCUUCAGAAACUAGCACCUAGACAUCGCAGAUAAUUGGUUUAAUUCGGAUGCAGGGCAACACGUUAAUGCGAAUAGUUUGUCUCUUGAGGAACUUAAUGAAAUUGAUAACAUCAAGGACAGCACACGCUAUGUCUAAACUAGAAGAUUAUAAAAAUCGAUUAUACAUUGGAUUUUUAUUCGCUGAGCAUUUUUCGGUC